rnacentral:lncRNA from 1 species
GGUCUGUUUCAGACAAGCAGGAGGAGGUAACUUUAGGAUGUCAUCUCUCUCAGGAAGCCACAGACCAUGUGUUGCCCUGAUGAAACAGGCUGUUCAAGUGUUUGAUUAGCCUCCCUACAGGAGAGAAAGGCGGGACCUGCUGCUCUACAAGCCUGAACUCCAGUGGCCAGAGGUGCUCAGAUCCUAAUCUGACCAGACCUUUAUCUCAAAGAACAGUAAGGUUCAGUCUUAUAACCUCCAUUUUUACCAAAAAGAAAAUGGUUCAUCUGGCUUGGUCAUCAAGCCUUGCAGAAAGCACUUACAAAGCUAACACCCUGGGCUACCUCAGUGGGUGGUGAAAUGGGCAGCUCAGUGGAAGCCAUUUCCAAAACCUACUUUAUCAGUUGGAAAACACACAUGGACUGAGUAUUCCCAGAGGAGACGCCAUCAGCACGCAGUCCUUGCGAGGCUCCUUCCUCCCAGCUAGCUCUGACAGCUGCCUCAUUCUCUUGGUCAUCUUGAAACCCUAAGGCAAGCUUUGAGCUCAUAACCACAGCUACUAGGGAAAUAGCCAAACCCAUGAACUGCAUGACUAGAUACAUUUGAAAGAUGUGUUUAUAUAACAUUUUAAAAGAUGCAUAAAAUAUAGCUCUGCUGGUGCAUGGGUGCAGUGAAAGAGGACUUUCCAUCUUGCAUGAUCACGAGUGUGUUCUGGUUUGUUUGUUUGUUACGGAAAGUCUCAUUAGAAUGUAUGAGUUGGCACCAUAUGAGUGGCUGAAGCCACUGCCAUCUGUCAAUGGAAUCCACACACCUGUAGCCAGAUAGGUUACUUGGAAGCCAUGGCUGGUAGCAAAAAGUGCUACAAACUUGAUCUCCCAGUCUCCCAGAGCCAGCUCUACCUGCUCAGGACCAAACUAUGUACACUGAUACUUCAUGGCUGGUUGAGGUUCCUUGUGGAAGCUAACACGGAGCAUAAGUUAAUCUAACCCAAGGAGCAAAGAAGUGCUGCUAAUUACCAGGAUUUUAAAUUCUGGGUCAUCUCCAUCCAAAAAGCCAGCUUUUUGCACCUACUAGGUUCAUGAAUGACAUGAGUGGAACUUUUGUUCAUUUCUCUCAAGGCACAGAUAGAAAAACUAUUAGUAUUCUACAAGCUGAGUUCCAUACCACCACCAUCCCUUAACAUAAUUAUUGGUAAUCUGGAAACAUACGAUGACAGGUUUGCACCUCCUCAAGUUGACCAUUUCAGUAUUAUAGCCUAUGGCAUGGCCUACAGUUUAUAGUGUAUAUUUCAACUAGAUUGCAUUUAGUUAUCAUUUCAAGGACUCUAAAGAGGAAGAAAGGGAAAGCGCCCCACCUAGAAGGCCAUGUAAGCUGCCCAUUGCCAGGAAGAGUGUGGCUGUGGCCACAGUGGGCAGAGGUAGAAGGCAUGUGCUUUAAGUCCUCUCUCACUGACUCUGAGGCCAUAGCUAGGCAGAAGUCUUUUAAACAAGAUCAGCACCAGAUCCCUUCUGUAAAAUGUCUGCAAGGGACAAAAGAGGUCUGGCUUUUGGUGGUCCUUGUCCUAGUAAAAUGUCACUUGAUAUUGUGCAGCCUCAGCUCAGUGAAAUUUAUAAUCUGGCCUGAGUACUUCCGUCAUCUGUGCAGAUUCUGAAGUGAAGACACAGCUCAUUUAAACUCCAUAAAAGAGCCAUGAAAUGAACACCAAGUACACAGGAACAGAAUCCUAUGGUCAGGUUUGUGUGGGCAACAGUGACCUGGGCUAACUCACACCUUCAAAGACAAGAACCCAGUGACCAGUCCUAGCUAAGGGUUGUGAGAGCAAGAAUCCACAGAUCUACCCACUGUGCCUUCCUCUCCCUCCCCCAUGGUCCUCGUCCCUAAAGAGCCUCACAGAACAUCUCUUGUGAAAGCCCUGUUUAUCCAGUUAAUGAGCUGCCGAGAUAAUCUGUCCUCCAAAACAAGUGCUGGAUUAACAAAUGCCUGGAUGGAGAAGGGCUUUGCUGAGGCAGAAUGGUCCCAGAAGCCAUUCUGAGUCCUCUAAGAGCAUCUUGUGAGGCAUUAGGUUUAUGAUGGGCAUCCUAAAAGAAGCAGCAGCCAACUCUGCUCUCUUAAAAUGUCUCCUCCCUUGACAGACUUAAUGGUGGACUACUCACUCUUGACAAGUUGUUCCAAGCUGAGACAUGAUAGGGAAUUAGUGUCAUAUGAUACACAGACUGGUGGCUGACUCAGAAAGGGGCUAAGAUGGCUCCCUAAUGGUUUAAAGCUGUUGUGGCCUCAGCUGCCCGAGGAGCCGCAGCCUCAGGAAAUGCUAACUGCUGAGAUGGCUUGAGGGUUGCAGCAAACUGUACAUUAGGCUGUCCUGGGCCAGUGACUUGAAGUGGCAUGUACAAUAAUAGCUGUCCUACAAGAAAGCACUUCAUAAAGAUGGCAAACUUGACAGCCAAUCCUGCAAACACACAGCUACUAAUUAGCAGUUGAACUAGACUGCCCUUAAAUGAAAAUUGGAACACAGUCAUAUUUAACAUCAUGUCUGUGACAUGCCCCACCAUGCUGGCCAGACUUCCCUACUGAGAGCAACCUGGGAUACACUGAUCCAGAAUGGGUACCCACAUCAAAACUUUAGACCUCUAAAUGGAACUGGAAGCAAACCCACAUGACUACUACAGAGAUGCAAAUAACUGCGGGCCCUG